rnacentral:rRNA from 1 species
AUGGUGAUGAGCACGUGCUCCUUCACGUUGAACGGCCCCGGGUUGAGGGUGAAUUCGUACGGCCUGCCGCGGAAGAAGGCGCGCUCGGGGAGCGCCGUGGCCAUGAGGCGGCCGAGCGGCACCACGGCGAUCUGGGCCGAGAUGGCGGUGAUGGUGAGCGGCUCCUUGCGGUACCAGAAGAACUGGUUGAGGAAGGAGAGCACGGCGCAGGACGCCAUGCCGAGGACCCACAUCCUGAAGGUGACGGGCGUGUCCCGGUCGUCGCCCACGGGCACCGUCAGCGCCACCUGCUCGAUCGGCGAGUUCUCCUCCUCCUCCUCAUCGGGCUCCGGCGAGCUCCGCGACGUCGACGGCACUGGAUGGAGAGGACAGGCCGGUUAA